CUCUCCGUUUAUUCCACUUUUUUCCCCUAGCGUUAACUUUUGCCCUUGCUUUUCUCACAAUCGAUAUCCAUGGCUACCAUCAAAGUGAAGAAUAGCAUGAUGUACUUAACAGAUAAUAUAGAAUUUGUAUAAAAUCGGGGCAAUACUGUCCUCCUAAAGGAAUGUCACGAUUUGUUAACUCCUAUUUAAAUUCUCGACUUUAUUGAAAUCGAAUCCACCAUCUACAUCAAAUUCACAUGACGGGUGCUUACACCAACGACCGGAUAUAGUCGCCAUCUCUGCCUCUGCCCUCGAAAAGAAACGAUACCCGCAUAUACUCUUGUGCUCUCUUUGAAGUGAUUAGUUUUUCAUAAUUCAUUACAUGUUGUUCUUCUUUUCGGAACUUGCAAAAGCUAUGGUCAUAGAAAAAUCACAACAACUUUGAAGCAAAGGGUGAUGUUUAGGACAAACAUGACAAUAGGAAGAGAUAACAGCAGCUUAUUAUCCAUAUUCUUGAAAUGGGUACUUGUAUGAUUUGUGAAGAAAAAAUUUGAUUUUAGGCCAAAGGUGACCACCUAAAAGAUUUUUACAGUUCAUUCUCCAAAUUAUCGAAAUAGGUUCUUGUGAGAUGUGGGUUGGUAAAGUAAAGGUUUGGUUUUUAGGACAAAUAUGAUGAUAUAAAAAGAUUAGAACAGUUUGUUCCCCAGAUUCUCUACAUAGGUUUGUUAAUCAAAUACUAAAUUUUAGGCAAACAUGGCCAUGGAAAAGACUAAAGCAUUUUAUUCUCAAAAUUCUCGAAUAUGGUAGUCCGGUCACUGGUUUAGUUAAGCAAAUUUUUUUAUUUUUAGGGCAAACAUGGCCAUAGAAAAUAUUACAUCAAUUCAUUCUCAAAUUUUUUGAAAUGGCAUAUACCUAUGGUUGGAUGUAUAUGUAUGUUUCUGUGUAUAUUACUCUAAAGAAACGGUUUGUUUUGGUAUGAUUUUUAAGAAGCAGAAGGACAAUGCCAUAAGCUGCUCCAUAGGAAGAGAUUAUAGCGCAUCUCCAGUCUGGCACAUUUCAAAGAAAUCUAAAUAAUACAAAGAGCCGGAAGCUGCUUUGACAAGAAAGCACUUUUUGGACAUAGAAAAGCAUAGUUUCUUGGAGAGGAAUGAUCAGAAUGGAGACAUACUUCUCUUUUCAAGUCUCAAAAUAAUAAACAAAAGCCUAUAACCAGCCUAGACGAUGAGGUCGAAUGGUAGUGGCAUACCUCAUAGAGCUUUGUGAGCAUCGAUUUCACUUAGGGAAAGAUGUGUGAACAGACGAUGAAACUGUUAAACCUUUGUUGAUGCACAUGAGUUCUCUUUCCAGCCACUGAAGCUAAGAAAAGAGGCCCCUAGACCGAUUAAAAGAGAGCUACCUUCUGAUGCAUGUUUUUGUACUGUGCAGAACACUUACGGGUGUAGAACUGAAGAAGAAGCUCCUGGGAAGAAAGUUUACACGUGAAGUUGUUAAUGCUGUAAUAACAGAUUUCCAUAUCAGGUAAAGCACUGGAAUCAAGAUGCUUCGAUCGGAGUUGUCAACCCUGUCUUUGAUAACAGAAAUGUUAUUUCAAUGAUUUUUCUUUUAUAGUCACUUUGACUCUUUGAAAUUUCUAACUUGGUUUCUCCCGUUUGUAUUGAUAUCUCUGUGAUUUUCGUACUUCCGUAACUUCCUUCUCACUGUACAUACAAGGAAGAAAAGAGACCUGGAAAAACCAUGUGCCCAAGCCCUUCAACAGUGAGAAGUUAAAAGUGAACUUUGGUUCCAGAGAUUCAAAGAUUUAAGAGAAAACAGACAGAAUUCUGAUUUAAGUACAUUACUCUUUUAAUAGAUGACUGAAAAAGUUGUGAAGGUUGAUGAGGCUAUUAACUAUGUGCAAUCUCACCACCGCCGAGUUGAGUUUAUCUCAAUGAAGUUAGCUAGUCUGAAUUCGGGAAUGGACUAUAACGUGAAAUGUCUUCUCUCCGGGGAUACAAGUCGCUCAAAAGUAUGUUGUUACAAAUGAGUUUUUGGCUUCUUGAAUAUGAAUGUUCAUGAAUUUGGUGACAGUUUCAGAUGAUUCAAUCCAUUUCAUCGUUGCAUCAUACUUACAGAAGUAGCUGUAGAGUUCGGAUUUUGGAGUUAUGAAGCUGGUCUAGAGGAAAAUUUAGUUCCUCUAAAAUUGUUGAGAAUAACAAAAGUGAGGAUGUACAAAAAAGCUCUUAUUAUAGACCUUAUUCAUAUAUCCACUUGAAAUAGCCGCUUAGUAGUGGCUUAAUGAAUUAUUGUCUCCUCUGCAGUAGCAUUACAAACUUUCUUUACUUUCUUUUUCUAUUGUAGCCUGUUGUAGUCAUAGUUCCUUCUUUAUGACCACUCAGUUUAAUAAAAGAUUUAUUUCAUUC